CAGUCACUAUCACACCUUAGGUGUGUCAGUAUUUCCAGGUCACCAAGGUGUGUUAGUGAUGACA
rnacentral:pre_miRNA from 1 species